CAAGGAUUCCCCUAGUAACGGCGAGUGAAGCGGGAUGAGCUCACCAUGUGAAUCUGCGCAACCAGCAAUGGUGCGCCGAAUUGUGGUCUGAAGAAGUAUUGUCGGCCGCGAGUCCGGGUUAACUGUAUUGGAAAAUACGGCCUGUGAGGGUGAAAGCCCCGUUCAUGCCUGGACUUGUUGCGCUUUGGCACAUGCUUUCUACGAGUCGAGUUGCUUGGGAUUGCAGCUCAAAUUUGGUGGUAAAUUCCAUCUAAAGCUAAAUAUUGGUGUGACACCGAUAGUGUACAAGUACCGUGAGGGAAAGAUGCAAAGAACUUUGAAAAGAGAGUUAAAGAGUACCUGAAAUUGUUAAAAGGGAAGCGAAGGAAUCCAGUGUAAAGCGAAGCCAUUCUUCUCAAGCCACUUGUGGUUUGGGCGCUGUGGUUAGCUGUACUAAUUCUGGGCUUGACCUGGGGCAUACGUUCUUCGAGUAGACGACUCUUCGGAGUGAGUGCUCGUUUUUCAUAUCCUGGGUCGGGCUGAGGUCAGUCACUCUGUGCUCGUGAUGAAUUAGGAAAUGGAUUUCUUUACCCCGUCUUGAAACACGGACCAAGGAGUCUAACAUAUGUGCAAGUACGUCAGUGGCAAACUGAUAUGCGUAAUGAAAGUAACAGUGGUAGGAACCUUCGGGUGCACUAUCCGCCGGCCAUAAUCCUUCGGGAGAAAGGUCUGAGUGUGAGCAUACAUGUUGGGACCCGAAAGAUGGUGAACUAUGCCUGAGUAGGGCGAAGCCAGGG
rnacentral:rRNA from 1 species